AGAGAUGCGGUUUCGCCAUGUUGGCCGGGCUGGUCUUGAAGUCCUGACCUCAGGCUGGAGUGCAAUGGCACGAUCUCGGCUCACUGCAACCUCUGCCUCCCGAGUUCAGUAGAGAUGGGGUUCUGCCAUGUUGAUCUUGCUGGUCUCGAACUCUUGGCCUCAAGUGAUCUGCCCACCUCAGCCUCCCAAAUGCUGGGAUUACAGGAGGGCUCUGAGAGAUUUCAUUUCUGUCCUGCUGAUGAAGUCUACGUUCAUUCAGGGCCUGCUGUGGAAGACCAGCCCCAAAGUUGCUGAACAGAAGACUUUUGAGAGUCAGCAGAAAUCUUCCACUUUGCAUGGUUCUCUUGAUGUGAAAUCAUCUAUAUAGCCCCAGAAUUGGAAAA
rnacentral:lncRNA from 10 species